GACGAACGCUGGCGGCGUGCUUAACACAUGCAAGUCGAACGAAGUGGCGGACGGGUGAGUAACGCGUAAGCAACCUGCCCUUCAGAGGGGGACAACAGUUGGAAACGAAUGCUAAUACCGCAUAGUGAAGGAGGGGAUUGCGGCGGAUUGGCUCGUUGGGGGGGUAACGGCCCACCAAGGCGAUGGACAGUAGCCGGUCUUGGAGGAGUGACUGCCACAUUGGGACCGGGACACGGGCCAGACUCCUUCGGGAGGCAGCAAGGGGGAAUUUUCCGCAAUGGGCGAAAGUCUGACGGCGCAACGCCGCGUGAGUGAUGACGGCCUUCGGGUUGUAAAGCUCUGUUAAUCGGGACGCGGUACCGGAAUAGAAAGCCACGGCUAACUACGUGCCAGCAGCCGCGGUAAUUC
rnacentral:rRNA from 1 species